rnacentral:rRNA from 1 species
GACGAACGCUGGCGGCGUGCUUAACACAUGCAAGUCGAACGAUGAAGCUAGAGCUUGCUCUGGUGAAUUAGUGGCGAACGGGUGAGUAACACGUGAGUAACCUGCCCCGAACUCUGGGAUAACUGCUGGAAACGGUAGCUAAUACUGGAUACGACCUACGAAGGCAUCUUCUGUAGGUGGAAAGAAUUUCGGUUCGGGAUGGACUCGCGGCCUAUCAGCUUGUUGGUGAGGUAAUGGCUCACCAAGGCGACGACGGGUAGCCGGCCUGAGAGGGUGACCGGCCACACUGGGACUGAGACACGGCCCAGACUCCUACGGGAGGCAGCAGUGGGGAAUAUUGCACAAUGGGGGAAACCCUGAUGCAGCCAUGCCGCGUGUGUGAAGAAGGCC